ACGGAAGGCAGCAGUGGGGAAUAUUGGGCAAUGGGCGAAAGCCUGACCCAGCGACGCCGCGUGAGGGAAGAAGGUCUUCGGAUUGUAAACCUCUUUCAGCAGGGAAGAAGCAAGUGACGGUACCUGCGGAAGAAGUCACGGCUAACUACGUGCCAGCAGCCGCGGUAGUACGUAGGUGGCGAGCGUUAUCCGGAAUUACUGGGUGUAAAGGGUGUGUAGGCGGAGAAGCAAGUCAGGCGUGAAAUUUAUGGGCUCAACCCAUAAACUGCGCUUGAAACUGUUUCCCUUGAGAGUGGGAGAGGUAAACGGAAUUCCUGGUGUAGUAGUGAAAUGCGUAGAUAUCAGGAGGAACACCGGUGGCGAAGGCGGUUUACUGGACCACAACUGACGCUGAGACACGAAAGCGUGGGGAGCAAACAGGAUUAGAUACCCUGGUA
rnacentral:rRNA from 1 species